rnacentral:rRNA from 1 species
AAAUUGAAAGGAGCUCUAGUACUUGAAAUGAAAACACAAAAGCACAGGACAUUUUGAGUAAAGUGAUGAACAGACAGAAAUAUAAAAUUGUAAAUCCAUAUCAGAAUACCUUUUUCAACAUUUUAUACAGCAUAACAGUUAAAAGAGAAAAAAAAAGGCAAAAAAUACCCACUUCAAUUUGGUUACAAACACAAAAUAAAAAGGGAUAAUUUGAGACCCCAAAAGCAAAAAUGAGCAGGGGAAAAAGAAUGAAACAUUUAAAGGUAAAUGAAAAUAAGAUGCUAUCAGCAGGAAAAAACUGAGAUAUUGAGACAUCUUUAGAAGCCACAGUAUAAUCAUAAUACAUAAAUCUAAAUUACAGAGAUGAAAGCACACACACACAAAGAAACUGAGAAUAACAUCACAGAAAGCCACCAAAUAAAAAUGUCAGCAAGAAGCAUAAGUAAAAAAGAAGAAAUGAAAGUAUGGAGCAACCAGAAAAUAAAAGAUAAAAGGGCAGCACUAAAUCUUCAUCUAUCCAUAUUCACCCUAAAUAUAAAUGGAUUGAUCAUGAAUCAACAGACACAGAGUGCUUAAACUGAUCUAAAAACAAUAUCCAAGUAUAUGCUGACUUCAGGAGUCUCAUCUGAGCUCUCAGGGAAAACAUAGCCUCAAUGUGAAAUGACUGAAGAUGAUACUCUGAGAAAAUGACAGCCAAACAAAACCGCAGCAACCACACUCAGGUCAAACAAAACAGACUUCAAGUCAGAAAAGAUGAAUGGUGUACAGCGAUGAGAAAAAUUCAUUAAAACAUACAACAGUCAUUAAUAUGUAGGUACCUAAUAUAGAAAGUUAUUAUGAAACUAAUAACCAAAGGAGGAUUUAGUAGUAAACUAAGAAUAGAGUGCUUAUUUGAAUUAGGCUAUGAAGCAUGCACACACCACCCAUCACCAUCCUCAAAUAAAUAUGAUGCACUUAAACCUAUUCACACAUAUCAAUUAUAUGAGAGGAGACAAGUCAUAACAAGGUAAGCAUACUGGAAAGUGUGCUUGGACAAACCAAGAUAUAGCUUAAACAAAGCACCUAGUUUACACCUAGACAAUUUCAUGUAUUAUGAAUAUCUUGAACUAAACCUAGCCCAUAACUCUAUUGCCAAUUAAAUAACAAAAGUAAGAUAAAAUAAAACAUUGGCCAACUAGUCUAUAGUGUAGGAGAUAGAAAUUUUAAACAUGGUGCUAUAGAGAAAUUUAUAUUAAAAAAUAAUAAUAAAAGAAAUUUAAAAAAAGAAAGUACUGCAAGGGAACAAUGAAAGAAAAAGUACAAAAAAGCAAAGAUUACCCCUUGUACCUUUUGCAUAAUGAAUUAACUAGCAAAGGCUUAACAAAAUGAACUUUAGCUAAGUAACCUAAGCAGUUUACCAAGAACCAACUCGUCUAUGUGGCAACAUAGUGAGGAGAUUUGUAAGUAGAGGUGACAUGUCCAACGAGCCUGGUGAUAGCUGGUUGUUCAGCUUUAAAAAUACCAAAAAAUCCAAAUAAAUAAAGAAAUCUCCCUGUAUGUUUAAAAGUUAGUUUAAAAAGGUACAGCCUUUUAGAAAUGGAUACAACCUUAACUAGAGAGUAAGAUCCAACAAGACCAUAGUAGGCCUAAAAGCAGCCACCAAUUAAGAAAGCAUUAAAGCUCAACAAUAAAAUGACAUUAAUCCCAAUAAUAAAUAAUCAACUCCUAGUCCUAAUACUAGACUAAUCUAUUAAAAAAAAACAGAAGUAAUAAUGUUAACAGGAGUAACAAGAAGCACCUUCUCCUUGCAUAAUUUUAAGUUAUUAUCUGAUAAUACCCUAUUAACAGUGAAUAAAGAUAACCCAACAGUAAACAAUUUAUUAGCUAUACUGUUAAUCCAACACAGGAAUGCACUCCAGGAGAGAUUAAAAUAAGUAAAAGGAACUCGGCAAACAUAAACCCCACAUGUUUACCAAAAACAUCACCUCCAGCAUCCCCAGUUUUGGAGGCACUGCCAGCCCAGUGACAAUCGUUAAAGGGCUGCAGUAUCCUGACAGUGCAAAGGUAGCAUGAUCAUUUGUUCUCUAAAUAAGGACUUGUAUGAAUGGCUACACGAGGGUUUUACUAUCUCUUACUUCCAAUCAGUUAAAUUGACCUUCCCAUGAAGAGGUGGGAAUAGACUAAUAAGACGAGAAGACCCUAUGGAGCUUUAACUAACUAGUCCAAAGAAAAUAAAACUCAACCACCAGGGGAUAACAACACUCUUUAUGGACUAAUAGUUUUGGUUGGGGUGACUUCAGAGAUCAAAAAAAAUCCUCCGAGCGAUUUUAAAGACUAGACUCACAAGUCAAAUCACACUAUCGCUUAUUGAUCCAAAAAUUUGAUCAACGGAACAAGUUACCCUAGGGAUAACAGUGCAAUCCUAUUCAAGAGCCCAUAUCGACAAUAGGGUUUAAGACCUCAAUGUUGGAUCAGGACAUCCCAAUGGUGCAACCGCUAUCAAAGGUUCACUUGUUCAACCAUUAAAGUCCUACCUGAUCUGAGUUCAGACCGGAGCAAUCCAGGUCGGUUUCUAUCUAUUACGCAUUUCUCCUAGUACGAAAGGACAAGAGAAAUAAGGCCAACUUCAAACAAGCACCUUAAAUCAAUUAAUGAUUUCACCUCAAUUAAUUCCACAAACAGACCCUGCCCUAGAAAAUGGCUCAGUUAAAGUGGCAGAGCCCGGUAAUUGCAUAAAACUUAAACCUUUAUAAUCAGAGAUUCAAAUUCUCUCCUUAAUGAAAUGUUUAUAAUUAAUAUU